rnacentral:rRNA from 1 species
GAGGAAUAUUGGUCAAUGGACGCAAGUCUGAACCAGCCAUGCCGCGUGCAGGAAGAAUGUCCUAUGGAUUGUAAACUGCUUUUAUAAGGGAAUAAACCUACUUACGUGUAAGUAGCUGAAGGUACUUUAUGAAUAAGCACCGGCUAACUCCGUGCCAGCAGCCGCGGUAAUACGGAGGGUGCAAGCGUUAUCCGGAAUCAUUGGGUUUAAAGGGUCCGCAGGCGGGGAUAUAAGUCAGUGGUGAAAUCCGGCAGCUCAACUGUCGAACUGCCAUUGAUACUGUAUUUCUUGAAUUAGUUGGAAGUGGGCGGAAUGUGACAUGUAGCGGUGAAAUGCAUAGAUAUGUCACAGAACACCGAUAGCGAAGGCAGCUCACUAUGACUAAAUUGACGCUCAUGGACGAAAGCGUGGGGAGCAAAC